GAAGAUCUUGUUUAAACGGUUCACUUGUUGUAGAAACUACUUUGUCCUGGGCUUAGCCCCGGCAUGGUUACAUGGGAGCAUAAUUUUGGAUGAAUUCAGCUGGCCUUGAAUUUGUUGGAAUCUGGUUCUUGUUGUCUCACCAUCAGUUGAUAAACGUGAGUUUGGUCAUGUUCUGGGUCCAGGAUUGGUGCAGUCUACAUACUGCCAUCAUUCGAUAUACCUACACAGUUCAGUGAACUUUCACUUAUCAUCUGCCUGGAGUCAAGAUAGAGUUUCCAAAUUCCAAUACUCUAUCAAAGUUGGCGAAGCGCUCGUGACAGCAAGCUGAAUGGACAGGAUGGGAGGUAUCCCAUAUUCUCAUCGCAUCUACUGUCUCGUUUUUAUCUGUUAGUAGCGUCAGAAGUGUGUGUGUUUCAUAUCAUAUGUUGCAAUCGCUGCUUUCAGAAGUUUGUUGCAUGCGAAUAUGUGACGUAGAAUUUAUGGUAUUAAACCUCUAUGAUAAAUGUUCUUUCCUAAAGAUUGCCACACUCAGUUGUCAAUCCACAUUGCUAGAUCAGCACCUGUUUAGUCCUUCACAUUGAUUCCUGCAAAUUAUUGUUUUAUUUGAUGAAAAUACUUCUGAAUGCAUAGUUGAAAUGUAAAAGUUGUAAUGCAGAUGUAUGGAAGACUUGAGAGCAACACUGUUUUGUUCCCUUCAGAGGGGAUUGCUGAGGGGAUUGUGUAAUCAGUGUCGACUGGAGGAGGUGGAAUGGCUGUUGCUAAAAAUGCAGGGAAACAGCGUUCUGUUGGAUGAAGACAUGUCUGAUUAUCUACUUGGUUGCUAUUGUAACUUAAAGAUGUACAGGGAAGCAUGCGAGCAAUUUAGAUCGAUGGCCCAUCAGAGCUUUCAGCCAGGGCUAAAGUCAUGCUGCCUUCUCCUUUCUGGCCUUUGUGAUAGUGGAGAUCAUGGGAUGGCUGUAUCAAUUUUCAGUGACAUACUUGGCUUAGGGUACAACUAUGAUGAGAUUGUCUGGAAACUUUUAAUUGAUUGCCUACAUGAGAAGCGGCAUACUGGGGCAUGUUUAGGGAUGCUUUCAGUGAUGGAUGAUAAAAAGUGUGUUGCUAGCACUAGGACAUAUGCAUCUUUAAUUCAUUUGUUGCUGGAAACUGAAUGAAGAUCUUGUUUAAACGGUUCACUUGUUGUAGAAACUACUUUGUCCUGGGCUUAGCCCCGGCAUGGUUACAUGGGAGCAUAAUUUUGGAUGAAUUCAGCUGGCCUUGAAUUUGUUGGAAUCUGGUUCUUGUUGUCUCACCAUCAGUUGAUAAACGUGAGUUUGGUCAUGUUCUGGGUCCAGGAUUGGUGCAGUCUACAUACUGCCAUCAUUCGAUAUACCUACACAGUUCAGUGAACUUUCACUUAUCAUCUGCCUGGAGUCAAGAUAGAGUUUCCAAAUUCCAAUACUCUAUCAAAGUUGGCGAAGCGCUCGUGACAGCAAGCUGAAUGGACAGGAUGGGAGGUAUCCCAUAUUCUCAUCGCAUCUACUGUCUCGUUUUUAUCUGUUAGUAGCGUCAGAAGUGUGUGUGUUUCAUAUCAUAUGUUGCAAUCGCUGCUUUCAGAAGUUUGUUGCAUGCGAAUAUGUGACGUAGAAUUUAUGGUAUUAAACCUCUAUGAUAAAUGUUCUUUCCUAAAGAUUGCCACACUCAGUUGUCAAUCCACAUUGCUAGAUCAGCACCUGUUUAGUCCUUCACAUUGAUUCCUGCAAAUUAUUGUUUUAUUUGAUGAAAAUACUUCUGAAUGCAUAGUUGAAAUGUAAAAGUUGUAAUGCAGAUGUAUGGAAGACUUGAGAGCAACACUGUUUUGUUCCCUUCAGAACAAGGUACAAGUAUGUACUAAAUUCAAACUAGCAUUUUUUUGGAGCGCCGAAUGUUCUGCUACAUUGACUGUAGAAGCAUGUCGUUUUGCAAUACCUACUUGAUUUCUUUGUUGCAUUGCAGCAAUUAUCUGGGUCUUAACAUUCACUGUGUCUGAGUACCCCUUACCCUUAAUUUGGGCAGGGAAGGAGCAGCUACCAUUUGUUGUAUCUACCCAAUCAUCUACAGAAACAACAAAAGGGUGCUUAACACUACUAAAAAUGUAUGCUCUUGUUUCUUUG
rnacentral:lncRNA from 1 species